rnacentral:lncRNA from 10 species
CAGAGACUGGGUAAUUUACAAAGAAAAGUGGUUUAAUCAACUCACACUUCCGCAAGGCUGGGAGGCCUCAGGAAAAUUACAAUCAUGGCAGAAGACACCUCUUCACAGUGGGGUCCAGUGAAGGGGGAAGCCCCUUAUAAAACCAUGAGAUCUCAUGAGAACUAACUCACUAUCGUGGGAACAUGAUGGAGAAAACCACCCCCAUGAUUCAAUGAUCUCCACCUGGUCCCUCCCAUGACAUGUGAGAAUUAUAGGAAUUACAAUUCAAGAUGAGAUUUGGUGGGGACAUAAUCGAACCAUAUCAGGUCCCCUCUGUUGUAGAAGCCCCAGCUUUAUGGGGAUUCUAUCAGUCUUCAACCCCACCCCCAUCUUUACCUAGCACUCAGGUGACAAGACAUAGGGCUCACUUCCAAGGAUUUUCUUUAUUCCAUUAUCUCAUCCUAUAGAAUCUUCAUUUAAUUUUGGGAGACAGGAAACAGCUUAUUUGUGACCUAUUAUGUAUUCUCUAUGUCUGGAACCAACAUUUAAACUUUUGAAGAUUCAAAGGCCUUUACUCUUCUGUUACUAUUACUCUUCUCUGAAUCACCUGAUGCUACUAUGUCUGAAUGCCAGAAUGAGAGAAGAUGAGAGAGAGUCUAGAAACAUCGGGAAAUAUCAGGAAGACUACAUUACUUAAUAUAUAUCAUUUCACAAAUGAGCAUUCAAUGUAUGUCCAAAACCCUGCACAUUGGUUGUAGUCCCCUCAACAUCCUACAAAGUCUACUCCCUUUUACAUUUGGGAAACAUGAGUCCCACUGAGAUCCGAGAAAACCUUGUUUGAGUACUGCAUUUGGGUAUUUGAACAGAUUUGAUUUAAUGCACUAGUAGAGAACGAGACAGAAAUGUACUUAAGCAAAGGGGACCUGAAGGACCUACUCUGAUAAACACCCUAAGAAGACUCUGACUUAAGCUCAGAUAAGAUUUCCAAGUUCUUCAGGAAUUCUUUUACUGCAAUUGGCUCAGCAACUGAAUGAAGAGACUUGAUAAGUUCUCACCUUUGCAUGCACACAUCACUUCUGUGGGGUAUGGUGAAAACAGCAUGGACGUUGGCUGGGAACCACCUCAUUGUCAUCUUGGUUCUACCCCUGAAACUCGGAACCUCAGUAUGCUCAACUUGAAUCUGUGGCUCCCUUUUUCCCAUUUCCCCCAAACCAGCCAGAUUCUGCAAAUCACAGCAAAUUGCUGGGCACGAAUUGGGACAAUUAAAGUGACCACAGGGCGGCAAGAAAUCAUGACAAAGCUCUGGAGACAGCUGCCAAGACAUGAAGACUUGGGACACUGGGACUAGCUCUGCAUGCCGGGCAUUGGGCUGGUCCCAUCUUGCAUUAUCUCUAAGUACCAGGAGCUGGGCUGAGGGCUGAGGAAGGGGUACCAUAGUCAAGGCAAGAGCAUCACAGGUGAAAGCUGGUUAUUGAGUAAGAGGUAGACUGGAUUCUGAACACAAAUCAUGGAUUUGAGAUGAGAAUUUGACCAAGAAGGCAACGCACAGCGCAAAUCACUCUUCUUGGCAUUAAUACAUACUGACAAAUUGACCUUGUCCUGUCCGAGGAUGAGUAAAACAAACAAUAUUAUCAGCAACAACAACACCAAGAGGCUGGUGAAAAAUGAUGCAAAAAAAAAAAAAAAAAAGGUAUGUGUGUUGAGGGGUGAGUGGGAAGGGAAUAACUUCAGGAAGGCAGAGCAAUCUUGAAAAUGAUUUUCCAUAAAAUCUAGAUGAUUAUUUUAGACAACUGCGCAGCAUGUUCAGAAACUGCAUGAAGUCUUGGUCUCUCUGAAAUGGAAGCAGAAGUCUGAAGGCAAGAUCUGGAGGGAAAUAAAGGCAAAACAUGGCUUAUAUCAGGG